GCGCCCGUAGCUCAGGGGAUAGAGCACGCGCCUCCUAAGCGCGGUGUCGCGCGUUCGAAUCGCGCCGGGCGCA
rnacentral:tRNA from 3 species